GACGGAGGGUGCAAGCGUUUCUCGGAUUUACUGGGCGUAAAGGGCGCGUAGGCGGCUUGGUAAGUCUGAUGUGAAAGCCCACGACUCAAUCGUGGAAGUGCAUUGGAUACUGCUAGGCUAGAAUGCAGGAGAGGUGAGCGGAAUUCCAGGUGUAGAGGUGAAAUUCGUAGAUAUCUGGAGGAACGACGGUGGCGAAGGCGGCUCACUGGACUGAUAUUGACGCUGAGGAGCGAAAGUGUGGGGAGCAAACGGG
rnacentral:rRNA from 1 species